CACACCGCCCGUCACACCAUGGAAGUUAAUUGCACCAGAAGUCGGUAGCUUAACCGCAAGGAGAGCGCCGCCCACGGUGUGGUCAAUGACUGGGGUG
rnacentral:rRNA from 1 species